GCCAGAGCUGACCACUGUGCAGGUGAGAGGUCUGCUGCUGAAAGGCUUCCUGAACUCAGGUAUCUUUGUACUUCCUCUGUUAGAGAAUUGUCACCCAGUUCAUUCAGACAGUGGAACAGGUUGAUGGUCCUUUCUGCAGAUAAAUUCUCCUGUAUUUUCUCCUUGAUGUACUGGCCUAUUUCCUUAAUGUUAUGUGAGCUGGUUCUUGUCUGGCCCAGUAGCCUUUGUAACAGACUCUUACUGGAGUCUGUUGAGAGGCCAAGGAGGAAGCGGAGGUAGAGGUCCAAGUGUCCAUUCUUGCUCUUUAAUGCUUCAUCCACUGCAGUCUUCAGCAGGUCAGCUGAUGAGUUUGACAGAAACAUGUAUAAAGCAGCGAGAUACUCCUGGAUGCUCAGAUGUACAAAGCAGUACAUCUUCUCCUGGUACAACCCAUACUCCUCUUUAAAGACUUCUGUACACAGUCCAGAGUAAACUGAAGCCUCUGUGACAUCAAUGCCAUUCUUUGUCAGAUCUUGCUUAUAAAAUAUGAGAUUGCCUUUCUCAAGGUCGUGAAAAGCCAGUUUCCCAAGUUUUAAAAGGAAUUCCUUGCAAGAUUUAGACUGUUUACUAACCUUGAUUUUAUGUUUUUCCAUAUACUUGUUAUUUUUUACACUUGCCUGAAAGAUCAGGAAGUGUGUGUACAUUUCAGUCAGAGUCCUUGGAAUUUCUCCACUGUCAGACUCACUAAAAAGACUCUCAAGAACAGUGGCUGAAAUCCAGCAGAACACAGGUAUGUGGCACAUGAUGAAGAGGCUCCUUGAUGAUUUCACAUGUGUGAUAAUCCUGCUAGCCAGGCUCUGAUCACUAAAUCUCUUCCUGAAAUACUCCUCUUUCUGGGCAUCACUGAACCCUCGUAUCUCUGUCACCUGGUGGACACACUGAGGAGGUAUCUGAUUGGCUGCUGCUGGCCGGGAGGUUAUCCAGAGGAGAGCAGAUGGAAGCAGAUUCCCCUUGAUGAGGUCUUCUGCAUCUGACCACCACUGUCCAGGUCAUUGUCCUCCUCCAGCUGAGGCUCAGAGCAUUCUGGGUCAUUCUGAUCCAGGUACCUUUUGAAUUUCAUCAGCUCAUCCUUCAGAAACAUUUGAGCUUUUUCC